AGGUUUAACACAUGCAAGUCGAGGGGCAGCAUGGUCUUAGCUUGCUAAGGCCGAUGGCGACCGGCGCACGGGUGAGUAACACGUAUCCAACCUGCCGUCUACUCUUGGACAGCCUUCUGAAAGGAAGAUUAAUACAAGAUGGCAUCAUGAGUCCGCAUGUUCACAUGAUUAAAGGUAUUCCGGUAGACGAUGGGGAUGCGUUCCAUUAGAUAGUAGGCGGGGUAACGGCCCACCUAGUCUUCGAUGGAUAGGGGUUCUGAGAGGAAGGUCCCCCACAUUGGAACUGAGACACGGUCCAAACUCCUACGGGAGGCAGCAGUGAGGAAUAUUGGUCAAUGGGCGAGAGCCUGAACCAGCCAAGUAGCGUGAAGGAUGACUGCCCUAUGGGUUGUAAACUUCUUUUAUAAAGGAAUAAAGUCGGGUAUGGAUACCCGUUUGCAUGUACUUUAUGAAUAAGGAUCGGCUAACUCCGUGCCAGCAGCCGCGGUAAUACGGAGGAUCCGAGCGUUAUCCGGAUUUAUUGGGUUUAAAGGGAGCGUAGAUGGAUGUUUAAGUCAGUUGUGAAAGUUUGCGGCUCAACCGUAAAAUUGCAGUUGAUACUGGAUAUCUUGAGUGCAGUUGAGGCAGGCGGAAUUCGUGGUGUAGCGGUGAAAUGCUUAGAUAUCACGAAGAACUCCGAUUGCGAAGGCAGCCUGCUAAGCUGCAACUGACAUUGAGGCUCGAAAGUGUGGGUAUCAAACAGGAUUAGAUACCCUGGUAGUCCACACGGUAAACGAUGAAUACUCGCUGUUUGCGAUAUACUGCAAGCGGCCAAGCGAAAGCGUUAAGUAUUCCACCUGGGGAGUACGCCGGCAACGGUGAAACUCAAAGGAAUUGACGGGGGCCCGCACAAGCGGAGGAACAUGUGGUUUAAUUCGAUGAUACGCGAGGAACCUUACCCGGGCUUAAAUUGCAGAUGAAUUACGGUGAAAGCCGUAAGCCGCAAGGCAUCUGUGAAGGUGCUGCAUGGUUGUCGUCAGCUCGUGCCGUGAGGUGUCGGCUUAAGUGCCAUAACGAGCGCAACCCUUGUUGUCAGUUACUAACAGGUUCCGCUGAGGACUCUGACAAGACUGCCAUCGUAAGAUGUGAGGAAGGUGGGGAUGACGUCAAAUCAGCACGGCCCUUACGUCCGGGGCUACACACGUGUUACAAUGGGGGGUACAGAGGGCCGCUACCACGCGAGUGGAUGCCAAUCCCCAAAACCUCUCUCAGUUCGGACUGGAGUCUGCAACCCGACUCCACGAAGCUGGAUUCGCUAGUAAUCGCGCAUCAGCCACGGCGCGGUGAAUACGUUCCCGGGCCUUGUACACACCGCCCGUCAAGCCAUGGGAGCCGGGGGUACCUGAAGUGCGUAACCGCGAGGAGCGCCCUAGGGUAAAACUGGUGACUGGGGCUAAA
rnacentral:rRNA from 1 species